AUUGCUUCUCGGCCUUUUGGCUAAGAUCAAGUGUAGCAUCUUUGCACAGAGAUGAUGAGUAGGUAAUUCUGUUAAUACCUCUU
ensembl:snRNA U2 U2 spliceosomal RNA